AUUGAACGCUGGCGGCAGGCCUAACACAUGCAAGUCGAGCGAGAGGCGGACGGGUGAGAAAUGUAUGGGGAUCUGCCUGAUGGAGGGGUAUAACUACGGGAAACGGUAGCUAAUACCGCACACCAUCAGAUGAACCCAUAUUGGAUUAGCUUGUAGGUAAGGUAACGGCUUACCUAGGCGACGAUCCCUAGCUGGUCUGAGAGGAUGAUCAGCCACACUGGGACUGAGACACGGCCCAGACUCCUACGGGAGGCAGCAGUGGGGAAUAUUGCACAAUGGGCGCAAGCCUGAUGCAGCCAUGCCGCGUGUAUGAAGAAGGCCUUCGGGUUGUAAAGUACUUUCAGUAGGGAGGCGUUACCGACAGAAGAAGCACCGGCUAACUCCGUGCCAGCAGCCGCGGUAAUUC
rnacentral:rRNA from 1 species